rnacentral:rRNA from 1 species
UAGAGUUUGAUCCUGGCUCAGAUUGAACGCUGGCGGCAGGCCUAACACAUGCAAGUCGAGCGGAUGAAGGGAGCUUGCUCCUGGAUUCAGCGGCGGACGGGUGAGUAAUGCCUAGGAAUCUGCCUGGUAGUGGGGGAUAACGUCCGGAAACGGGCGCUAAUACCGCAUACGUCCUGAGGGAGAAAGUGGGGGAUCUUCGGACCUCACGCUAUCAGAUGAGCCUAGGUCGGAUUAGCUAGUUGGUGGGGUAAAGGCCUACCAAGGCGACGAUCCGUAACUGGUCUGAGAGGAUGAUCAGUCACACUGGAACUGAGACACGGUCCAGACUCCUACGGGAGGCAGCAGUGGGGAAUAUUGGACAAUGGGCGAAAGCCUGAUCCAGCCAUGCCGCGUGUGUGAAGAAGGUCUUCGGAUUGUAAAGCACUUUAAGUUGGGAGGAAGGGCAGUAAGUUAAUACCUUGCUGUUUUGACGUUACCAACAGAAUAAGCACCGGCUAACUUCGUGCCAGCAGCCGCGGUAAUACGAAGGGUGCAAGCGUUAAUCGGAAUUACUGGGCGUAAAGCGCGCGUAGGUGGUUCAGCAAGUUGGAUGUGAAAUCCCCGGGCUCAACCUGGGAACUGCAUCCAAAACUACUGAGCUAGAGUACGGUAGAGGGUGGUGGAAUUUCCUGUGUAGCGGUGAAAUGCGUAGAUAUAGGAAGGAACACCAGUGGCGAAGGCGACCACCUGGACUGAUACUGACACUGAGGUGCGAAAGCGUGGGGAGCAAACAGGAUUAGAUACCCUGGUAGUCCACGCCGUAAACGAUGUCGACUAGCCGUUGGGAUCCUUGAGAUCUUAGUGGCGCAGCUAACGCGAUAAGUCGACCGCCUGGGGAGUACGGCCGCAAGGGUUAAAACUCAAAUGAAUUGACGGGGGNCCCNCACAAGCGGUGGANCAUGUGGUUUAAUUCGAANCAACGCGAANAACCUNACCUGGCCUUGACAUGCUGAAAACUUUCCAAAAAUGGAUUGGUNCCCUUCNGGAACUCAAACCNAGGUGCUGCAUGGCUNUCCUCACCNCCUNUCCUGAAAAUGUUGGGUUAANUCCCNUAACCAGCNCANCCUUNUCCUUAUUNCNACCNCUUNGGGNGGGNNCUUUAAGGAAACUGCCGGUGAAAACCCGGAGGANGGGGGGGAUAACUCAA